AAAAUGUUUCUUUUUAAUCACAUUAUCCUUGAAAUUCUUCCCUCAAAAUUCUCGAGUUUUUCCUGGUUUCUCUUGAGUAUAAAAAGGGGAAGGCUUGUCUCACUCGGCAUGUUUGCAUAUCUCCCGCAGUGAGUUAGCAAAAUGAACUACUUGUUCUUCACCCUUCUUGUUAUCUUCGCCAUCGUGGCAACCACUAUGGCCCAGUAUGCCUCAUACUACUACAACACCCACGCCGCCUAUCCCUACGCCUAUCACUAUGGCGUUGCUCCCUACGCUUACGUUUGGAAGUGAAUAGAAAAUUAAAGGUGCAACGGAUUGAUUCCUGGAUCUUGACAAUGAUGAGAGCCGGAUAAUAUUCCAAAUUAACAUUUGUUCAAUUUCAAAAAUAUCGAAAUUUUGUUGCCAAUAAAUUUAUAAAAAUCUGA